GACGAACGCUGGCGGCGUGCUUAACACAUGCAAGUCGAGCGGUAAGGCCCUUUCGGGGGUACACGAGCGGCGAACGGGUGAGUAACACGUGGGUGACCUGCCCUCAGCUCUGGGAUAAGCCUGGGAAACCGGGGUCUAAUACUGGAUAUGACUCCAUGACGCAUGUUGUGGGGUGGAAAGCCUUGUGCGGCUGAGGAUGGGCCCGCGGCCUAUCAGCUUGCUGGUGGGGUGAUGGCCUACCAAGGCGACGACGGGUAGCCGGCCUGAGAGGGCGACCGGCCACACUGGGACUGAGACACGGCCCAGACUCCUACGGGAGGCAGCAGUGGGGAAUCUUGCGCAAUGGGCGAAAGCCUGACGCAGCGACGCCGCGUG
rnacentral:rRNA from 1 species